rnacentral:rRNA from 1 species
GUGCCAGCCGCCGCGGUAAGACGGAGGGGGCAAGCGUUGUCCGGACUUACUGGGCGUAAAGCGCGUGUAGGUGGCAGUCUGCGUCGGCGCUGAAAGCGCCAGGCUUAACCUGGCGAGGCGUGCCGAUACGAGACCGCUUGAGGCAGGGAGAGGGUAGCGGAAUUCCGGGUGUAGUGGUGAAAUGCGUAGAGAUCCGGAGGAACGCCUGAGGCGAAAGCGGCUACCUGGCCCUGUUCUGACACUGAGACGCGACAGCGUGGGGAGCGAACCGGAUUAGAUACCCUGGUAGUCC